AUGCCACCGAAGUUCAACCCCAGCAAGAUUAAAGUCGUAUGCCUGACGUGCACCAGGGAUAAAUGUGGUGCCAUGUCUGGGCUGACACUCAAGAUUGGCCAUCCUGGGUCUGUGUCCAAAAAAACUUGGUAAUGACAUUGCCAAGGCAAUCGGUGACUGGAAGGAUCUGAGGAUUACAGUGAAACUGACCAUUCGGUACAGACAGACCCAGAAUGAGGUGGUACCUUCUGCCACGGCCAUGAUCAUAAAAGUCCUCAAGGAACCACCAAGAGAUAGAAAAAAACAGAAAAGCACUAAACACAGUGGAAAUAUCACUUUUGAUGAGAUUGUCCACAUUGCUGGACAGAUGUGGCACUGAUCUUUCGCCAGAUAACUCUCUGGAACCAUUAAAGAGAUCCUGGGGACUGUCGAGUCUAUGGGCUGUGAUAUUGAUGGCCACCACCCUCAUGACGUCAUAGAUGAUGUCAACAGUGGUGCGGUGGAAUACCAAGCUAGUUAA
rnacentral:lncRNA from 1 species